rnacentral:rRNA from 1 species
CCUACGGGUGGCAGCAGUGGGGGAUAUUGCACAAUGGCGGAAACCCUGAUGCAGCGACGCCGCGUGAGUGAAGAAGUAUUUCGGUAUGUUAAGCUCUAUCAGCCGGGAAGAAAAUGCCCGUACCUGACCAAGAUGCACAGGCUAACUACGUGCCAGAAGCCGCGGGACUAAGGAGGGGGCCAGCGUUAUCCGGAUUUACUGGGUGUAAAGGGAGUGUAGUCGGUUAUGUAAGUCUAGAGUGAAAGUCCGGGGCCCAACCCCGAGACAGCUUUGGAAACUGAGUAACUGGAGUACAGGAGAGGCAGGCGGAAUUCCUGGUGUAGCGGUGAAAUGCGUAGAUAUCAGGAGGAACACCGGCGGCGAAGGCGGCCUGCUGGACUGAAACUGACGUUGAGGCUCGAAAGCGUGGGGAGCAAACAGGAUUAGAUACCCUUGUAGUC